ensembl:lncRNA
CCUUCUGUUCCUCCUCCAGGCGGAGCCGCUCCUCUUCCUUCUUCCAUUCUGCCUCCCGCUGGGACUCCAGGCGCUUCCGCUCCUCUCUUUCAGCCUCCUCUGCCUGGCGAGAGGUCUUCAUGAGGCCACAUGCCCUAUCCAGCUACAGGGUGCCCACCUCCCAGACAGGCUAAGGAAGGCGAUGGCUGGCCAGGACACAAACCAAGGCUUUAGGAGACAGCCAGGCAAGCAGCAAACAGGAGCCCAGUGUAAAAAAAGCCCAGAAGACAGAGUUCACCCUAGGGAACACAGAAGGUAGAGGCCUUUCCUGCAUCCCAGAGCAACACCCCAUUUCUUCUGCUUGCCUCACGCUGGGCUUUUCGAGCCUGUUUCUCUUCUAGUUUCCGUAGUUUCUUGGCUCCAAUUUUCCCUGUCGAGUGAGUUUCUGCUGGCUUCUCAAUUCCUUCUUCCUCCUGAGCUGGGUAUGGUCAGAGAAAGACACUUCAGUUCCUAGCCAGAAAGGAUCCACAUCACCCCGUCCCUCUCCUCACAGGGGAAGUCUCUGCCACUCACCUUCAAAUGUUACUUGCCCCACCCCACCCCAAAAAAGUGUUACUAGCCCAGCCCUGACCUCCAGGGGCACCUGCCACAUUCACAUGUGUAUGUACUGGGAAUGGGGGUUAUAGGCAAGGGAACAGAUGAGACUUUAGACACUGCAGAGCUAUAGGAGCGAUAUGCCGCUAUCUGAAUGUCUAAGGAUCACAGAUGGAGCUGUCAGGACUUGCAGAGGUUCCUGGUUUUUGUCUCUGUGUCAAACCUCUAGGGAAGGAUGACUCUCUGGGAAUAUUCAUCCCAGUCUCAAAUCUGAAGUCUUCCCCACUCUAGUCAGGAAUUGCUGAAUGUUCUAGGCUCAGCCGCUGACCAAGAUUAUUCUGUCCCACCAGUGCCAGGCUAAAAAGACAGUACUAACCCUGGGACUACACCAGGGCCAGCUGAAAGGAAAAGAUCCACUGAUGCCUGAACAGAUGUGGUAUGUGACUCCAAAUCUGGGACAGGAGGGAUGGUACACAAAUGAUCUCCUUUUGAGUCAAAGGGACUAACUCCAGGGGUUCAAGGCAAAAAUGCCCAAUGUCCCCUGGGAAAGGCCCAGAGGUCUCUCUUUGGUUUUAAGACAACUGUUAAGUACUGGAGAAGUGACACUCUUUCUCAUAACCCUAAGGGCUCUGUUGGUCUCCCAGAAGCAGGGAUACGCAGGUCUCUAUGUCAACAGAAUGUCUCUGUCCUCAAACCCUUCUUCUGGAGUUACAGUGAUCCCAUUCCAGGAAGGGGGAUAUAAGGGAUAUAAGGGGUGGACUGAGGCACAUUCCAGGUCAAUCUGAAGAUCCUUAGCCUCCUGCUUGGACACCAAGAGCCAAGAUGAAGGAAGAGGGAGUUUCCUCAAUGGAACAGGGAUCAGGGCUUAGAACUCCUCUCCAUGACCAAGUUCAUGUCCCAAGCCUCCACCCACUCUACCCAGUAAUUCCUAGCUUCCCUCUUGCUGCGACUUCAUACUCUACUCCUUCAUCAAAGUUUGGGGCUCAUUCAUCCUCCUCAAUGCAGUCCUCUUUCCCACCAGGCUGGGUCCCUUUCACCUGGGAUGUCAGUUUCGUCCUCAUUCUCAUCCACUUCUGUCCAAGCCACCCGCUGGGCUGGGCGAUGAGCCUGCAGGUGGCUGCCCAGGUCCCUCCGGGCGCCGGGGUCUGCCUCCAGCUCUCUGCUCUUCUGCCUCCAGGAGCCGUGACGGGUCCACCCCGAGCUGCUACUCCUGGCACCUCCUCAUUGUGCUGUAGCUCUUGACCAGCUU